CUAGAUUGAUGGGCCUUGAUCCCAUAAAAACUUAGUUAACAACUAAA
rnacentral:tRNA from 1 species